AGCAGCCGCGGUAAUUCCAGCUCCAAUAGCGUAUAUUAAAGUUGUUGCAGUUAAAAAGCUCGUAGUUGAAUUUCGGGAUCAAUAUAUCGGUCGUGCCUUGGUACGUACUGGUAUCAUUGGUUUCUCCUUUCUGAAGAACCUUGAUGUCAUUAAUUUGGUGUCUUGGGGAAUCAGGACUGUUACUUUGAAAAAAUUAGAGUGUUUAAAGCAAGCUCACGCUUGAAUACAUUAGCAUGGAAUAAUGAAAUAGGACGUUUGAUUCUAUUUUGUUGGUUUUCUAGGAUCGACGUAAUGAUUAAUAGGGAUAGUUGGGGGCAUUAGUAUUCAAUUGUCAGAGGUGAAAUUCUUGGAUUUAUUGAAGACUAACUACUGCGAAAGCAUUUGCCAAGGAUGUUUUCAUUAAUCAAGAACGAAAGUUAGGGGAUCGAAGACGAUCAGAUACCGUCGUAGUCUUAACCAUAAACUAUGCCGACUAGGGAUCGGAUGAUGUUAAUUUUUAAUGUACUCAUUCGGCGCCUUA
rnacentral:rRNA from 1 species